UACGUAGGGGGCUAGCGUUGUCCGGAAUCAUUGGGCGUAAAGAGCGUGUAGGCGGCCCGGUAAGUCCGCUGUGAAAGUCGGGGGCUCAACCCUCGAAUGCCGGUGGAUACUGUCGGGCUAGAGUGCGGAAGAGGCGAGUGGAAUUCCUGGUGUAGCGGUGAAAUGCGCAGAUAUCAGGAGGAACACCGAUUGCGAAGGCAGCUCGCUGGGACGUCACUGACGCUGAGACGCGAAAGCGUGGGAGCAAACAGG
rnacentral:rRNA from 1 species